rnacentral:lncRNA from 1 species
AACACAUUUUGAUUAAGAUUAUCAUUAAUAAAAUGGACAUAGCCCUGAGAGUACAUUGAAGUUCAGCAAUAAAAUAAAAUCAUGGAGUUGAGCACUAGGUUCAUCUCGACACUUUCCAUUCAUCCAUAUUGCCUAAAUAGUUAGGUUGUCUGCUUCUGGAGGUUGGUCUCCCAUAUUUGUAUCGUGCUGGUCUCCAAAGGAUGACAUCAACUUUUCUUGAAGCAUUCAAGCCUGAAAGAGAUGCUUAUGUCAUUUUUUUUGGAGAAAUUAAAGUUUUCAUUACUAAAAAAGGAGGUUGGGCAAAGCCCAAGAUUACAGAUAUAGGGAAAUGCAAAUACAGUAAAUGUAAAAAAACAUUAAAUGUAAAACAUUGUCUAUCUCUUAUACAACUGUGGCCAUGACUAUCUAGCCAAGGAUUGAAGCCUCAAGAGGUUGGACUCCCAUGGGUGUAUAAUUUGUAUUUCAAUCUGUAAAAGAUUGUGCUUCUUAUAGGAUGUAGAUUCAUAUGUAAUGCUCACAUCCUUUAUAAUUUCUCUGCUGACAAUUUCUGAGGGCUUUAGGGUGUGUUGUUUUAAUUUCCUAUUCCUUUCACACCAUAUGUGUCAGGAAAGAGAUGCUAGCAUAGUCCAGUGUACCCCCCAACAACUGGACUUGUGGGUGAAUUUUUGUAUUGUUUCCACUUUCCAUAAUGUCGCCUAUCCUGAUGUCUGUUACGGGAGAUUGGGGAUUUUAUCCACUAAAUGUCCAAACAAUGCUUGUCAUUGGUGACCUCUUUGAGAACCGUUUCUGGUGGUCUGAGUGUAUAUUGCUUCCACCUGCGAUUUCUUUCUGCCCAGAUGUGCCAAUAUAAGGAUCCAAUCAUGUUCCAUAGUAGACCCCAAAUUGGGGAGUGAUGUGUUAGCUACUUAGCUCCUGACAUGUCUCAGUGAAGUCCCCUAACCUGAUAUCAGGAUGAUUUGUGGUGGGUGUGGGGUUGUGGACCGUGUGGCUAUGUUAAGUAUUUUCUUGAAAAUGUUAUUUAGGUUUUCAACUAGGGGGGAGGAUGACUUUAGUUUCAAUCUCUGUGUUACAGAGUAAACAUGUGGGCCAUACUUCAUCCAUUCAGUCUGAUAAAAGUGUUUAGGUGGUCCCAUUUUAUUCUCCAUAAAAAAUAGAGAACUUUGUAGGUUUGUGUGCCCAUAUCCCUUCAACUAAGUUAUGCUUAUGGCUUUUGUCUCUAAUUUCUUCACAGAUUGUUGCAAGUUUCCUGUUUAGGUUCCCAUUCAUCCACAGGACAAUGUAGUUUAGGCCACAUUCGACAAAAACACUUCCUUUAGUCUUGUCUCCCAUCACAUAUUUCCUUUAGUCUUCAUUGUGUCUCCCAACACAAUGAAGUGGAGGUCAAUGGAACUUCUGAUCUGAAUGUUUAUAAGGGCUCUUCCUUUUAUAUCUCUCUCUUGUAUCCAAGCUUUUAAAGGUGCAAAUGCGCUGUGUGCCAGGACCUGGCACACUGCUGUUUAGGCGCCAGUGUCAUUUCUGUAUAUAAAUUUUUUAAUAAAUUUUUAAUAGUUAAUUCAGAUAAAUAAUUAAAUAUAUUCAUAGGAUAUUUUUUUCCACCUAAAAACAGGUUGUUGGAGCUCGCCGAAGGUGUGGGAAAAGAUUGGGGGAAGAAUGGGGAAGAUAGGUUGAGGUUUUGGGGGGAGGAAAUAGGUGUUUCUUGCGUUUCCGGACUUUCUAAAGUUUCUUGUGUUUUGAGGUGUUUCUUGUGUUUAUUGAGAAAAUAAGAAUGGUGUUUCUAAAGUCCGGAAACACAAGAGCCCUAAUGUUUAUAUUUAAAUAAACAUUAGGGCUAAAUCCUGGAGGCUCUUGAAAACCAUGCUUGUAUCCAUCUAUUUAGAUUGAGUUUGAUUUCUUCCAAAAUUUAGCAAUUCUCUUGAUAUUUUUUGCUGGUACUAUGGUUUAUAGGUUUCUAACUAGUAACUCCUAAUCGUCCUUUUGAUUUGGGACAGACUCAAUCCUAAGGGGUCACCUGAUUUUUGAAACAGAUGAUUCUAUCCUAGACUCAGUCCUAGAGAAAGUUCCAGUUCAUUCUUAUUAAGAUUAGCUUGGUGGAAUAAUUGGUGAUUUUGAUGAAUAGGAUGAAUGGGUUGAUUUUCUUUUAAAUGCUAAAUAAAUAAAUCUAUUUCUAGAGAUUGUGUUUUUUUUUUGAAGCAAUAGAGAUUGUGUAUUUGUGAUUACUGGUUUUCAGAGGAUUGUAUAAUUCAAUGUUUGUAUGUUCCAUUGUUCCAUAGCCUUCUUCUUUUUUAACAUCAUUAUCAUAUAAUUUUAUUUUAUUCUUUGACAAAAAUUUAUUUUAUCUAUAUGCAAUUCCUUAAUGCAAUAAGCCAAUAUCCUUGAAACUAAUUUACCAUAGAAGCUCUAACUAAAAGACAAAAAAAUCUGGCAAUUUUUAAAAUCUCCAGUCCCCUCCAGUCAGGCUCAACUCGGGCGAGAUUCCCCUCACCAGAGUCCACUCAACCAGAGUGACUGAGCAGAGACACCCAAGUAGAUUGAAUUGCCACUCAAUAUGUAUGCUUACACCCAAGUAGACUGAGCAGAAAUGCUUACACCCAAGACUAAGGAUGUUGCUCCGGUGAGCUAGUCCGUUGAAGAGCUGAGCUGAUGGGAGUGCUUUCUUGAAGAAAGAUGGGAAGGACUGCAGCAAUGCAGCCUACUAAAAGAAGAGAAAAUACUCCCACCUGCCAGAAAUUCACACAUCAUUCUGCCUGCUGGGGACUGCACUGGAACAUGUUGGACAGCUUAUCUUGGCAUAUAUGUGUAGAGAGAAACAUGAGACUCAAAGAUCAUAUCCUAAGACCUCCAGAAGUGGUUACCAUUUACCAAAGAAAUUGCUAGGGACUCCAGCCUAUGCCUAUCAUACAUGCAUGAACUUCAUAAGAAGGAAAAUACCAGGCUUAAAUUACAGUUUUUGUACUUUCCUAGUUAUAUAACCAAUAAAGAGUAAGGAUAAUGCUAAAUGGAAUCUGAGUCAUGGACAUGGCAUGCUUAUCUGUGACCUUAUUGUAAUUUAAGAGCUGUCUCCAUUUAUUGGAUUUCAAUUUUUUUAUCUAUAUGCAAAUUCAACCUGCAUGCUUUAUUCUUAUGAAUUUGUUGUUUGACUACAUAUACAAUAAUAAUUAAACUUAUAUUAUCGUUUGUUUUGCAGCUGUUAUGAUUUCCGAUGUUGUUCAAAAAUUAUCUGCAUAUUUCAUUUCAACUCAUAAUGUAGUUAAUGAUAACGUACAGCAUCUGGAAAAGACAUUUACCGUGAUGAAAAUCAUGCGGGAUUGUGAAACAUGGUUGACGUCACAAUUUUCUGUUCAGGAAUUCAGUUUUCUUGGUCAUGGUGAUUUUUUUGGAUUUAUAGAAAAAAAUAUUAAUUUACUUCCCUAUGAAAUGCACAGUUUUCUUAUGGGAAAUGACUACAAUAAACCUCUAUUGAUGGCUUCCAUGUUGCCGAGACAGCUAGAUUCUUUUCUUUCUCAUACCACGAGCAAUUUAUCAAACAAGGAGAAAAUAACUGCCCAUUACAUUUCUACUCUUCUUAAUAAACAGUUUCCUACUAUCGGUUUUCAAAUAUCAGGAAAUGAUAUUGCAAGCUUUUCAAUGGACAUCGUUAAGAGCAAUGAAAAUGAUCAGCAUUGCUGUUCUGUUUUAUUUUCUACAAUACUAUUGGGAAACAUACUAGGACGCUCUGAGGGUUGUUUAUCAAAAGUUGAUGUGAUGGAAUCUGAAGGAGUUCAGUAUGACAUUUUUCAUCGUCAUUCUUCAGAAGAUGCAGUUAAAUGCUUAAUGAAGUCUCCAAUGUUGUUCGAUCUACACUCCUGGUCUCACUGGGAUCUUGUAUAUGCUCCUUCUCUUGGACCUCUUCUUGAAUGGCUAUUGAGUGGUGUCCACUGUAAAGACUUAUUAUGUAUAGCAACAAGGGAUGGUAAAUUUAUUCGGAUUGAUCGUAAUGCAACUGCUGAGGAAUUCUUGGAGGCCGCACUCCAAGGUUCUUCAUAUGAGGCAGCAGUAAAGUUGUUAUCCUUGAUACCUCUGUAUGGCGGAACACAAAAUGUUCCAGUAUCUCUUUUGAAACAUUUCACAAAAAGGGCAAUUGAAGUUGUUAUAAGAAACUCUAAGGAAUACAUGGAUGUAACUAAAAGUUCUUUUGAUGUGCAAGGUAUUGAAUGUCAAAAUGUGCAUCACGAUGAAUUCAGUGCCGCAUCAUGUUUUAUCCUUGAUUGUCUUAGUCAUAUACCUUCAGAAUUUCGAAGUUUUGCUGCAAAAAUACUAGUUCCAGGACUGCAAUCUUUCAAUAAAGAUGCCUACUCAGUUCUUUUACAUGAAUGCAAGCAAACAUCUCAGCGACUUAUGCUUCAUGAGAUAGGAUUGUCCCUUGGGGUGAUACAAUGGAUUGAUGACUUUAAUGCAUUUAAGUCACUGCCAUAUUCUGAUUUUGUAAUAAUCUCAUCCCAAAAUAUAAUCAAAAAUUUUGAAUUUACAUUUCCUGAAUCUAGUUUGGCCUUGAAAUGCGAACGAGAUAUCACAGAUAGAUCUUGCAACGUAAAAAGAACUACUUCAUCUCAAGAUUACACUUCUCUGUUAGGUGGACAUCCACACAAGUUGAAACAUCAAAAAGACAAUGUUUUAACUCCAAAAAGGUUGGAGGAUCCUGAAAAGGAUUUGAUUAAAUUGGAUGACAGUGAUAUAUGUGAUGCAUCGCUUAUUAUUGAAUCCAUACGACGCGAUGAAUUUGGUCUAGAGCCAAAUCUUGAUUUCAACGAAGAUAGUUUGCUAAAAAAGCAGCAUGCUCGAUUGGGACGAGCACUUCAUUGUCUUUCUCAGGAGCUGUAUUCCCAGGAUUCACAUCUUCUUCUUGAACUAGUAAGUUCACUAUUAUACAUACUUUUUACCUUUUUCUGUUUUUCUAUUUGAAACCGAUAAAUAUCUUUAUUUUAUUCCAUGCCAAGAAAAUAUAAAACAUUAAAAAUAUAAUACACUCAGCCACUUAGGUGUGCUGCAUUGCAUUUGUAAAUUGUAAUUAGUUGUUAGGAAAGUUUGGAGUGGUGCACUACUGCACCCAAUGCAUUUUUAAUCUAUUUUUUCAUUCUUGUAUAUAUUUUUUGUAUUUCUUUUGGUGCCAUUUUUCUAUCCUAAUUUUUUUCUUGGGAGUUCAAUUCCUGGAGGCAAUAGCUAGAGUAGUUAUUUAAUGUGUUAUUAGAGGAUCUGCAUUGCUUAUCUCCUUAACCAUUGCAUGGGGUAGUAGUGAUGUGGACAUGGGGUCAUGAUAUUUGAGUCGUAUGUCACUGGCUCAACAACGGUUGUUAGAUUGAUUCUCGACCCAUAUAUCAUCAGUGAGUGAGUGCAAUGUAUAAUGAAUGUGCUUGGGGUAGUAGUGAUGUGGACAUGUGGUUAUGAUAUUUGAGUCGUGUGUCACUGGCUCAACAACGGUUGUUGGAUUGAUUCUCGACCCAUAUAUCAUCAGUGAGUGAGUGCAAUGUAUAAUGAAUGUGCAUGGGGUAGUAGUGAUGUGAACAUGUGGUCAUGAUAUUUGAGUCGUGUGUCACUGGCCCAACAACGGUUGUUGGAUUGAUCCUCGACCCAUAUAUCAUCAGUGAGUGAGUGCAAUGUAUAAUGAAUGUGCUUGGCAUGGCGGACAACUUUGUAAGUAAUCAGAAAUCAGAAUUCUAGAGGUGAUUUUGAAAAUUAAAGAUAGAGCAGGGAUUUGUUAUUGGAAAUUUGGAAUAAGCAUUGUUACUUGGGUUGGAUUCAAGCAAUCCUCAGGAACCCUCACUAAUACUCAGUGGAACGGUAACUCAGAUCAGAUUCUGAUCAAGAAGUAGAAAGAGAUUAGAGGAGUGAGCAAAGAGAAAACAGCACAAGAUUUAUGUGGUUCAGCUACAAAUAGCCUUAUUCCAUAAGGGCGAUCUCUCUUUAUGGUGGUGACUGCCGACUGGUGAAUAUUAAAGUUUGCGUUACAAUGUUCAUCAAGAGUACUCCCAAUGAUGGAAGGUGGGCUAGGCAUCAGGAACUUGUCAAUUAUAACUAGGGCAGUGGCUAUAAAAAGAGCUGCCAACUUUUGGGGAGAGGGGAACUCUAUAUUGAUCAAUUGGGUGAUUGGGUCAAGGAAAGAUACAUAAGAGAACAUGCAUUAGACAAUAUACAGAUCAGACCAACAGUUGACUCUCCAUUGUGGAAACAACUCAUCAACCAAAAAGUGGAAAUAUGAAAGAUAAUGGAUUGGAAGGCAAAGUACAUCAUUAUUUGGAAGAAAGGUGCCCCAACAAACAAGCUGGGAAACUUUAUCCAACUAAUCAAACAUUCAGAUUUCAGACCUACUAGCCACAAGGAUCAACUGGCACAAAGAAUAUGGUCAUGAAUGCCAACAAAAUUCUCAAUAAUGCUAUUUAGAAUCAGAUGGGAAUACCUAACUACUUUUAGUAAAUUAAUAAGAUUAUAAGAUUGGAGUAUCCAAACCCAACCAAAUUGUCUGAUAUAUGCAAUAAAGAGGAGGAAAUAAUUAGCCAUCUCUUCUUUAAUUGUGAUUUGUGAGUACCGAGGGACAUCCUUAUUAGAAUUAUUGAAACAUUAGGACAGUCCAGUCCAUUUGGAAAAUAACAAAUGUUCCCAUUCCAACACCCAACAAGGACAUCAGAAUUGGGGACCUUACAAGAAAUUCUCUAAACAAACACCAUACUGGGGGCUGCACUGGAAUAUUUUAGGGAGUAUAAAAUGGCACAUAUGGGCUGAAAGGAAUAGGAAACUUAGUAACCAAUUAACCAUACACUCAGAUCACCAAAGACCCUUACAAAAGAUAUCAUAAAGGACUCAAAACUAUCCUUCAAGGGAGAAAUCUACAAGAAGGAGAGCACAUCAGCAGAAAUACAGAUCAUAAAUUCGUGGUAGGCAUCUUUUAUCAGGCAAACUUCCUAGGUCCACAGACCUAGAAAAACUGCUAUAUAGAAAUAGGGUCGUUGGACAUGUCCAUCUCUCACAAUAGAUAGAUUAGCUCUAUCUUUAUUAGUUAUUUACUGUUUUCUUUUCUAUUCCAUUUUUAAUGGACUUUAACUCUAUAAAAAAAAUGAAAUAGUUGGUUAUCUCGGGCUUAAUUCUCAAGAUAAAAGUAUAAUAACUCCAGUCCGUUUAAUAGAUUAUUAAAUGAACUAAUGAGAAUUUGUUCUCCGUCCCUCAUAAAUUCCUGAAAUAACAUAAAAAUCUAUGAUUUACCUAUAUUUGAUGGUCAAAGUCCUGGAAAAUUUCUUGAUUAGAUAACUGAAAUGGAGAGAUUUCUUGAUUAUCUGGAUAUUGCAGAACAUCGAAUAUUAAAAUUAAUGGCUCUACAUUUGAAGGGAAUAACGUCACAAUAUUUGAGAGAAAUGUGCUUAGAUUGGGAGUAUAAAUAUGAAGUGGUGCAGAGGAUCACCAGCUUUUGUCAUUUGAGCCAAAUCAGGUAUUCUUCUAUUUUCCGGUGGAUUCCAGUGCUAUUUCAUUCUUCUGAUCGGUGAAUUCCGAUCUCUUCUUCUUGUUUCAGUAAAGUUCCCUCCGGGAGAACUUAUCUCGUCGGUUCUAUUAACCGAUGAGUUUAUCAUUUACUUCUAGUUCAUUGAAGAUUACCAUUACAGUACUUGGAAGAACA